GAGGAGUACUGAACCCUACCCAGCCCCACCACACUGGUGGGAACCGGAUCACCCCUUUGGAAUUAGGCAGUGUUGCGGGUAGGGGGCGGCCACCCCCUGCGCAUCUGUGGGUUGAGGGUGUUGCCAGCACACCAGCCAUCACCUGCCCCCACGGUCACCCCACAAAGGGGCCCCAGCUAGAAAGGAGGCACCUCAAAACCUGACCCUCUGGGGAGGCAGGGGUUAAUGCCCUUGGACAGGUGUGGGGACUGGGCAGGGCUGAGGCAGCCCUUUCAGAGCAGUUUGGCAAGAUGGGGAGGACCCCCCCACACACACCAUGAAAAAAGCAGCCCACUUCCCACCCAGAGCCCAAGGCACGUGGGGAAUGUUCCCCCUUCAAAUUCCAGUCCACAUCAAUCACCCCGUGUCCAUUCCAAGAACAUCUGGCCUGUCCCCCCCCAUCACUGCCCCGCUCCCUCCCCACCAGCCCUCUGCAGUCCCCAGGCCCUGGCGGUCAGGCCUGUGCCUAUAGAAGGGAGGGCAAGGAGGGGGCCUCCCAGGGAAGCCUGGGAGGGUGGCUCCCCCGUAUGUGGCAGUUGUCAUUUGGGGAUGAGGAGUGUUUUCAGUGCCUGUCUGCAGACCUCAGAUCCCUGGGACCCCAGAGCGGAUUUCAAGUCCUGGGUGAGGGUCUCCACUUCCCUCGCCCUGCUCCCGGCUCCCCACCUCUCCUCCAGGCCUGCUUCCCAGGCUGGGGACGGCAAGGGGGCCGGGGUAAGGCCUGUGCCAGUCGGCUUUCUGGGCAUCUUCCUGCUGGUGGGGGGGGCCCUUUGGGGACCCUUCCCUGCCUUCAGACCUGAACAGGCGCCAGCCCUGGAGAAGCUGUGGCCCAGUGCUGGGAGACAUGUGCCUGGACCUUGGAGCUCUGCAGCAGCCCUGGUUUGCGCCGCACCCCCACCCCCCGCCAUGUGCCAGCCAUAUUCCAAGAGGACAGUCACCCCGAAGACUCAGACUCACCCCAGGAAGCCCAGCCCCGCACCCCGACCUGGCUCCAGGCUCCGGCUCUGCAGCGGCUCCCUGCUCCCGCUCGCCCUGCAGCCUGCCUUCCCUUUCCCCGCUUCCUUCCCCGGCUCUGGCUCCAAGCUGGCCGCUCCCCACCUCCCUGGGACCAAGCCCAGCAUUUUACAAACCCGGCUCAUUCUCCAGGAGUCCCCUGAGCGCCCCCUCCCUCAGCCCCCACAGGGUGCCCGGGUGCUGCCCGGGUGA
rnacentral:lncRNA from 1 species